rnacentral:misc_RNA from 1 species
GAAAUGCGAUAUGUAGUGUGAAUUGCAGAAUUCAGUGAAUCAUCGAAUCUUUGAACGCACAUUGCGCCCCUUGGUAUUCCAUGGGGCAUGCCUGUUCGAGCGUCAUUUGUACCCUCAAGCUCUGCUUGGUGUUGGGUGUUUGUCCCCGUCUCCGCGCGUGGACUCGCCCCAAAGUGAUUGGCAGCCGGCGUACUGGUCCCGGAGCGCAGCACAUGUCGCGCAAACGAGUGCCUUGGUACGGCGGCGUCCAUAAGCCCCUCUCUCACGCUCUUGACCUCGGAUCAGGUAGGGAUACCCGCUGAACUUAAGC